rnacentral:rRNA from 1 species
GUCCAGACUCCUACGGGAGGCAGCAGUGAGGAAUAUUGGUCAAUGGGCGCGAGCCUGAACCAGCCAAGUAGCGUGAAGGAUGACUGCCUUACGGGUUGUAAACUUCUUUUAUAAAGGAAUAAAGUGAGGCACGUGUGCCUUUUUGUAUGUACUUUAUGAAUAAGGAUCGGCUAACUCCGUGCCAGCAGCCGCGGUAAUACGGAGGAUCCGAGCGUUAUCCGGAUUUAUUGGGUUUAAAGGGAGCGUAGAUGGGUUGUUAAGUCAGUUGUGAAAGUUUGCGGCUCAACCGUAAAAUUGCAAUUGAUACUGGCAGCCUUGAGUACAGUUGAGGUAGGCGGAAUUCGUGGUGUAGCGGUGAAAUGCAUAGAUAUCACGCAGAACGCCGAUUGCGAAGGCAGCUUACCGGCGCUCAACUGACGCUGAGGCACGAAAGUGCGGGUAUCGAACAGGAUUAGAUACCCUGGUACA